rnacentral:rRNA from 1 species
GAUGAACGCUGGCGGCGUGCCUAAUACAUGCAAGUCGAGCGAACAGACGAGGAGCUUGCUCCUCUGACGUUAGCGGCGGACGGGUGAGUAACACGUGGAUAACCUCCCUAUAAUACUGGGAUAACUUCGGGAAACCGGAGCUAAUACCGGAUAAUAUAUUGAACCGCAUGGUUCAAUAGUGAAAGACGGUUUUGCUGUCACUUAUAGAUGGAUCCGCGCCGCUUUAGCUAGUUGGUACGGUAACGGCUUACCAAGGCAACGAUGCGUAGCCGACCUGAGAGGGGGGUCGGCCACAUUGGAACUGGAACACGGUCAAGAGUCCUAAGGGAGGCAGCAGUAGGGAAUCUUCCGCAAUGGGCGAAAGCCUGACGGAGCAACGCCGCGUGAGUGAUGAAGGUCUUCGGAGCGUAAAACUCUGUUAUUAGGGAAGAACAAAUGUGUAAGUAACUAUGCACGUCUUGACGGUACCUAAUCAGAAAGCCACGGCUAACUACGUG